GAUGAACGCUGGCGGCGUGCCUAAUACAUGCAAGUCGAGCGAACGGACGAGAAGCUUGCUCUUCUGAGGUUAGCGGCGGACGGGUGGGUAACACGUGGAUAACCUACCUAUAAGACUGGGAUAACUUCGGGAAACCGGAGCUAAUAACGGAUAAUAUUUUGAACCGCAUGGUUCAAAAGUGAAAGACGGUUUUGCUGUCACUUAUAGAUGGAUCCGCGCUGCAUUAGCUAGUUGGUAAGGUAACGGCUUACCAAGGCAACGAUGCGUAGCCGACCUGAGAGGGUGAUCGGCCACACUGGAACUGAGACACGGUCCAGACUCCUACGGGAGGCAGCAGUAGGGAAUCUUCCGCAAUGGGCGAAAGCCUGACGGAGCAACGCCGCGUGAGUGAUGAAGGUCUUCGGAUCGUAAAGCUCUGUUAUUAGGGAAGAACAUAUGUGUAAGUAACUAUGCACGUCUUGACGGUACCUAAUCAGAAAGCCACGGCUAACUACGUG
rnacentral:rRNA from 1 species